rnacentral:lncRNA from 1 species
AGCGAGAUGAGGAAGGGGCAGCGCGGUCCUGAGCACGACUGGGGGGGGUGGCGGGGGUCCUGUCCCCCCCCAGGUGGCAUCGGGGGGGGUCCCAGAAGUGUCCCCGCCACCCCCAGGCGGCCCCGGGGAAGUGACAGCGCGGUGGAGGCCACCUCGUGGUCCCGGCCCGCGGAGGUGGCAGCGAGGAGGUCCCGGGGGGGGUCACGGUGAGGUCCCUGUCCCCCCCCAGGAGGUGGCAGUGAGGACACGAGGAGGUCCCAGCACGUGGCCAGGCCCCGCGGUGGUCCCCAGCUCCUGAAGGUCAUCGUGGUGAGGCCACGGCGAGGUCCUUGUCACCCCCAGGUGGCGGGGAGGAGGACAGGACGUGGUCCCAGGAUGUGGAGAUGAUGGCGAAGAAGUCACGGCGUGGUUCCUGUCACCCACAAAUGAUGGGGAGGAGAACAUGGCGUGGUCCCAGAACGUGGAGGUGAAGUCACAGCGCGGUCCCUGUCACCCAGAAACGAUGGUGAGCAGGACAGGACGCGGUCCCAGAACGCGGAGAUGGUGCUGAAGAAGUCACAGCGCGGUCCCUGUCCCCCCCAGGUGGUGGCGGUGAGGCCACAGCGAGGUCCUUGCCCCCCCCCCCGAUGGUGGGGAGGGGGACACGAGGAGGUCCACAGGUGCUCGGGGCGAGGCCCCGCGGUGGUCCCCAGCCCCCGGCGAGCCCCUCAUCACCCCCAGCCGGUCACCAGGAGGCCGCGCCGAGGUCCCCACGCGCGGCCAGGAGCCGGGUGCACCCCGGGGGCUCCUUUUGGGGGCUCAGCCGCCCCCCCACACACACCCCCGCAGCCAAACGGUGCCCCCCCGGCGCCCCCUCUCCGCCGGGGGCACCCCGAACUCCCGCUCCGGUCCCAAAACAAAAGGCGGAACCCCUCCACCCCGAAGCGAUGACAAAAAAGGGAACCCCCCCCCAAAACCCUCCCCCGAGUCCGCACGGCGGGCGCUAGACGGGCAGGAUCUGCUCCAGGAUGGGCUUCGAGGAGGGGGGGAUCCUGUCGGGGAAGCGGACCUCGAACUCGAUGAUGAGGUCCCCGCGCUGCUCGGGGGUUUUGGGGUACGGGAGCCCCUCGCCGGGGAUGCGCCGCUUGACGCCGGGCUUCAGCACGUCCUUGAAGACCAUGGGGAUGGUGCGGCCGUCCAGCGUCGGCGUGUUCACCGUGCACCCGCACAGCGCCUGGACGCGGAGAGGGGGGGGGAAAAGGGGUCAGGACGCGCCCCAAAACGCCCCCCCCCAAGCCCCAAGCCCCGAAGAAACCCCCCCGGGCCCGGCGCCCACCUCGCGGAGGCUGAUUUUGGCCGGGUAGAUGAUGUCGGAGCCCUCGCGGCGG